GGCCGAUUGGUCAAGUGAUAAGAUGCUUGCUUUGGGCGCAAGAGUCUCGCGUUCGAAUCGCGGGUCGGCCC